rnacentral:rRNA from 1 species
AGUUUGAUCCUGGCUCAGGAUGAACGCUAGCUACAGGCUUAACACAUGCAAGUCGAGGGGAAACGACAUCGAAAGCUUGCUUUUGAUGGGCGUCGACCGGCGCACGGGUGAGUAACGCGUAUCCAACCUGCCCACCACUUGGGGAUAACCUUGCGAAAGUAAGACUAAUACCCAAUGAUAUCUCUAGAAGACAUCUGAAGGAGAUUAAAGAUUUAUCGGUGAUGGAUGGGGAUGCGUCUGAUUAGCUUGUUGGCGGGGUAACGGCCCACCAAGGCGACGAUCAGUAGGGGUUCUGAGAGGAAGGUCCCCCACAUUGGAACUGAGACACGGUCCAAACUCCUACGGGAGGCAGCAGUGAGGAAUAUUGGUCAAUGGACGAGAGUCUGAACCAGCCAAGUAGCGUGCAGGAUGACGGCCCUAUGGGUUGUAAACUGCUUUUAUAAGGGAAUAAAGUGAGUCUCGUGAGGCUUUUUGCAUGUACCUUAUGAAUAAGGACCGGCUAAUUCCGUGCCAGCAGCCGCGGUAAUACGGAAGGUCCGGGCGUUAUCCGGAUUUAUUGGGUUUAAAGGGAGCGUAGGCCGGAGAUUAAGCGUGUUGUGAAAUGUAGGUGCUCAACAUCUGCACUGCAGCGCGAACUGGUUUCCUUGAGUACGCACAAAGUGGGCGGAAUUCGUGGUGUAGCGGUGAAAUGCUUAGAUAUCACGAAGAACUCCGAUUGCGAAGGCAGCUCACUGGAGCGCAACUGACGCUGAAGCUCGAAAGUGCGGGUAUCGAACAGGAUUAGAUACCCUGGUAGUCCGCACGGUAAACGAUGGAUGCCCGCUGUUGGUCUGAAUAGGUCAGCGGCCAAGCGAAAGCAUUAAGCAUCCCACCUGGGGAGUACGCCGGCAACGGUGAAACUCAAAGGAAUUGACGG